UACUGUUUAUGAUGAUUAUGACUUAAGACAAUGGGAAUCUCUCUGAAUAAGGCUGAAAGAUGUAUUUGUACUGAAACAGUA